ensembl:lncRNA novel transcript
GCCUUGAGCCAGCUCUGGAAGCUCUGCUGUGAGUGGUUAAGGCCUGAGAUUCACACCAAGGAGCAGAUGUUAGACUUGCUGUUGCUUGAGCUGUUCCUGGCCAUUCUGCCCGAGGAGCUCCUGGCCUGGAUGCAUGAGUAUCAUCCAAAGAAUGGAGAGGAGGCAGUGGUUUUGCUGGAGAUUAUGUUAUCAGAAUCAAUAAAAUAGAACUGAUUCAAGGGCAGGAACUUACUGUAGAUAUGGAAUCCCAAGAAAAGUUACCUGGAAAAUCAAUGAAAGGCUUCUGAAUGAGAAGAAACCCAAGAACAUGAAAGAUGGACAGAAAUAUAUCAGAGAGCCGAGUGCAGUGGCUCACACUUAGAAUCCCACCACUCCAGGUGGAGAUGGGCGGAUCACCUGAGGUCAGGAGUUUGAGACCAGACUAGCCAACAUGGUGAAACCCCGUCUCUACUAAAAAUACAAAAAUUAGCCAGGUGUGGUGGUGUAAGCCUGUAAUCCCAGCUACUUGGGAGGCUGAGAGGAGAAUCCCUUGAACCUGGGAGCCUCAGGUUGCACUGAGCCAAGAUCACGUCACUGCACUCCAGCCUGGGCGACAGAGCGAGACUCCGUCUUAUACAAACAAACAAACAAAAAACAAAGAAAUAUAUCAGAGAAACACAAUCAACUGAGAGAAAAUAUAUGUGUGAUGAAUGUGGGAAAACAUUCACUCAAAACUCAAGCCCCAUUAGACAUAAAAUAAUCUGUACUGGUAACACACCCUCUUCAUGUAAUGUAUGUAGCAAAACUUUUACUCAGAGCUCACAACUUACUGACCAUCAGAGAAUACAUAGCCAUAUAAAACCCUAUCAGUGUGAUGAGUGUGAAAAAGUCUUUUAUUACAGUUCAUAUCUUAUUCAGCAUUGAAGGACCCACACAGGAGAAACCUUUCCAAUGUAGUGAGUGUGGGAAAGUCUUUCAUCACAGCUCAGAUGUUAUUUGACACCAGAGAACUCACACGGAAAAGAAACCAUACCAGUGUAAUGAUUGUGGGAAAUCCUCUCUGAGUUCAUAUCUGAGACAACAUCAGAGUUCAUACUGAAGAGAAGCCAUAGCAGUGUAGUGAGUGAGGGAAAAGCUUUAGCUAGUGCUUGGGCCUCUUCUGUCACCAGAAAAUCCACAGUGGAAAGAAACUAUAUGAAUGUGACAAGCGUGGAAAGGCCUUCAGAUACAGUUCAGCUCUUGUUGGACACCAGCGAAUCCACGGUAGAGAGAAGCCCUAUGAGUGUGAUGUGUGUGGGAAAGCUUUCAGUAACAGCUCACAUCUUUUGAGACACCAAAGAACCCACACUGGAGAAAAGCCCUGCAAAUGUGAUGCAUAUGGAAAAGCUUUCAGGCAGAGCUCACACCUCAUUUUACAUGAGCAAAUCCACACUGGAAAGAAGCCCCGGUGAUGUCAAGCGUGAUGCAACAUUGUUCAUCUAUGCUCAUUCCUGUGGAACAUCAAAAAAGCACAACUAGUAAAAGAUGCCACCAAUACAGUGAUGCAGGGAACUCUGCAAUCACUAUUGCAAUUUCAGCAGUCAUUUAAAAAUACAGCCAGGCAUGGUGGCUCAUGCCUGUAAUCCCAGCAGUUUUGGAGGUGAAGGUGGGGGAUCACUUGAGACCAGGAGUUCAAGACCAGCCUGGGCAACAUAGAAAAAUUACAUAUAACAAAAAAUUACAUACAACAUACAAAAAAUUUAAAAAUUAGCUGGACAUAGUGGUGCAUGCCUGUAGUUCCAGCUACUCAGGAGUCUAAGGCAGGAGGAUUGCUUGAGCUCAGGAGUUCAAGGUCACAAUGAGCUAUAAUUACACCACCAUACUCCAGCAUGAACAAUAGAGCAAGACUCUGUCCCAGAAAAAAGGAAAGAAAAUACAUGUGAAGGCUAAAAUGGGCAAGCACCCGCAGGCUUGCUAAACAAGGCUUUCUGAUUCUCUGCCAUUAGGCACAUCACCUGAUAAACUGGGACUCUGAAGGAGCUUAUUCCAUACUCUCAAACUUUUCUCUAAAGCAAGUGGCUCAGGAAAUCUAAAAAUUCUAUUAGAUAUGUAUUGGAGGUUUUAGCAAUUACUACUGUUCUCUUUCCCCUUCCCUUUUUCUCCUCUUCUAUUUGUUUCUUUGAAGUUGGAGUAAUAAAC